UACGUAGGGUGCGAGCGUUAAUCGGAAUUACUGGGCGUAAAGCGUGCGCAGGCGGUUUUGUAAGCCGGAUGUGAAAUCCCCGGGCUUAACCUGGGAAUGGCAUUCGGGACUGCAAGGCUGGAGUGCGGCAGAGGAGACUGGAAUUCCUGGUGUAGCAGUGAAAUGCGUAGAUAUCAGGAAGAACACCAAUGGCGAAAGCAGCUCUCUGGGACGGUACUGACGCUGAGACGCGAAAGCGUGGGGAGCGAACAGG
rnacentral:rRNA from 1 species